rnacentral:rRNA from 1 species
UACAGAGGGUGCAAGCGUUGUUCGGAAUCAUUGGGCGUAAAGCGCGAGUAGGCGGCUUCUUAAGUCUGAUGUGAAAGCCCGGGGCUUAACCCCGGAAGUGCAUUGGAUACUGGGAAGCUAGAGGGUGUAAGAGGAGAGUGGAAUUCAUGGUGUAGGGGUGAAAUCCGUAGAUAUCAUGAGGAACAUCAGUGGCGAAGGCGGCUCUCUGGUACACUUCUGACGCUCAGACGCGAAAGCAUGGGGAGCAAACAGG